GUGAAGCUGCUGGAGCUGGUGUUGCAGCUUGUGGGCGACUGCAACAAGUGGCAUGGCAGAUUCCUGGCAGCUGCCCAGAACCCUGCUGAUGAGCCUGCUCCAUGGGACCCAGCCCCCCAGGAGAUUGGGGCUGCCAACAAGCAGGGUGAUCUCCCACAGUGUGGAGCCUGAACAAGAAGAGGCUGGGGAGGGUUUUCCCCACGACAGCCCCACGGCACAGCAGAUCAUGCGGCUGCUUCAUGAGAUGCAGAACCCCCAGGAGCGCCCAGGCUUGGGCAGCAACCCCUGCAUCCCCAUUUUUUACUGAGCUCAGGAGAGCAAGAUGAAGGCGACAGAGCUGCUGACAAUUAGAUCUGCCCCAAGGAUGACUCCAGCGAUAAAUGCCAUGAUGGCUCCAUCUUUGCCCAGCCCUUUUGCCAACCAGGAGAAUGAACAUUCAUCCCUCCAGGGAGAGGUAGGGAAACCAAUAGGAAUCCCACUCCAUCAGUGUGAUCUUCAGGUGGGAAGCAGAAUGGCUGAGUCCCUGGACUGCAGGUGGAAGCUCACCUCUAGAGCUCAUCGUGGGGGAAUAGCCUAGCCUUAAAAAAACUAUUCAUAUCGUUUUCAAGCUUGUUUAAUAUCAGUAUGAUCCUAGAUCCUUCUGGAUGAUUGAUAUUGGAGAUGCAGUAGAAAGGGAUAGCCCUGAGUACCCAAGAGGUGGGAAGAGGGCACUGCAAGAAUACAAUCCCCCAUUUCACAA
rnacentral:lncRNA from 1 species